ensembl:lncRNA uncharacterized LOC114457880
CGAACUCUGCCUCACGUGAUUCAGCAUUUCGAAAGACGCCGUUGCCAUGUGAGAUGAAAGACCUGUGGUGAUAGUUACCAACAGCUUUGCCGACGAGUUCCAUUUACUGGACGUUUGCUAAACGUGUUACAGUUCACUCUUAUCACUCAUAUCUCUAGUUUUCACUUAUUUACAUUAACCUCUGCGAUAUUGUCGCAUUUUGUCACAUUCGUUAGUAAAUAAAUAGUUCCAAAAUGAAAAUCAACGGAAUUGAGAAAGUUUCACAUAGCCCCGUGAACACCUCCCACAGCAAUGUGUCCCGCCCUCUGUAUCCGAUACGAGAAGAACAGCAGCACAGGGAUGGCAGAAAGCACCACAAAGAGACGCAGACAGUUCUGGGCAGAGUCUUAAAGAAAGAACCGAACUGGGAGGAUGGGAGCGAAGAAUUCAGAGACAGACGUUGUUUCAACGAGAGGAAACGCAAGAGAGACGUGGCUGAUGGUGUUACUGACAUGAUGCCUGCUCCCAAAAGGAGUCUAAACACUGACGGCGAGGACAAGCCUGAGCUAGGAGCACUGUCUGUGCAACCAGCGCCACCUCAGGACACAGAGAGCGUAGCAUUCGUCUCUGUUGGCUGUCAGACUGUUCAACAGAGUUUCAAACCCAUCAAAAUUGAACCUCCAGAUGAGCCAGUGAUGGGUGACGUCACUCCUCCAGACGGCGAGGACAAGCCUGAGCUAGGAGCGCUGUCUGUGCAACCAGCGCCACCUCAGGACACAGAGAGCGUAGCGUCCGUCUCUGUUUGGAUUGAAACACUGAUAAACAGUCUGAAAGCCAUUGAAGCUGUCCAUGCACGUCAGGCAAGCAACACCAAGGCCAUGGGUUUAAGAGAAUUAUUCAGACUCAUCUCAAUGGUUCUGCACAAUUGGAAUCUGGAGGCCUCGGGGGAUAUGGUUUCAGAAAGCAACUGCACUCCAAAUAUUCCCAGAAUUUUAAAGAAAGAACCAAACUGGGAGGAUGGGAGUGAAGAAUUCGGAGACAGAAGCAAGAGGAAACGCAAGAGAGAUGUGGCUGAUGGUAUUACUGACAUGACGCCUGCUACCAAAAGGAGUCUAAACACUGACGGCGAGGACAAGCCUGAGCUAGGAGCACUGUCUGUGCAACCAGCGCCACCUCAGGACACAGAGAGCGUAGCAUUCGUCUCUGUUGGCUGUCAGACUGUUCAACAGUGUUUCAAUCCCAUCAAAAUUGAACCUCCAGAUGAGCCAGUGAUGGGUGACGUCACUCCUCCAGACGGCGAGGACAAGCCUGAGCUAGGAGCGCUGUCUGUGCAACCAGCGCCACCUCAGGACACAGAGAGCGUAGCAUUCGUCUCUGUUGGCUGUCAGACUGUUCAACAGUGUUUCAAACCCAUCAAAAUUGAACCUCCAGAUGAGCCAGUGAUGGGUGACGUCACUCCUCCAGUGAGGUGUUGGAGCAGAAACCGUCUGUAGGAGAUUUUUCAGAUCACCCCGGUCCAGUCCAUGGCCUGGAAAACCACAAUGGCCUCCUUCACAUGUGUUGAGGGG